UCCUCUAGGAAUUUCUUUGCAGGCCAGAAAUACCAUUAGUACUCUCGCCCUUUUCUCUCCCUCUCUGCCUUUAUAUUGCAAGUGAAUGUGAGCUGAGCAAGCUAUAAAAGACAAGAAGAAGACACCAAAAGAAAGACAGGAUCUAUAAACGGGACACGAGGCCAAUACACAACUCGACAUGGAAGAGGAGGAGGUUACAGUACUGCCUGGAAGCAUAUGCUUUGCAGCCAUGACUGAUAAAGAGCCUUCACCAGCAGAAGAGAGAGAGAAGCUCAGUUUCAAGAAAGGAGACGUGUUGACAAUUGUGAAUUAUAACAAAACAGAGAGUGUUGUGAGUAACUCUGAAGGUACUGUUGGGGUCGUUCCCACGUCUUCCCUCACUCUACGUUCCCCUGUAUCU